GACCUAGUGCGGCGCAGUGGUUUGAGCACUGGACAAGGACUCUGGAGUCCAGGGUCCGAAUCCCAUCUUGGCCA